rnacentral:rRNA from 1 species
AUUGAACGCUGGCGGCAGGCCUAACACAUGCAAGUCGAGCGGAUGAAGGGAGCUUGCUCCUGGAUUCAGCGGCGGACGGGUGAGUAAUGCCUAGGAAUCUGCCUGGUAGUGGGGGAUAACGUCCGGAAACGGGCGCUAAUACUGCAUACGUCCUGAGGGAGAAAGUGGGGGAUCUUCGGACCUCACGCUAUCAGAUGAGCCUAGGUCGGAUUAGCUAGUUGGUGGGGUAAAGGCCUACCAAGGCGACGAUCCGUAACUGGUCUGAGAGGAUGAUCAGUCACACUAGAACUUGGACACCGUCCAGGCUCCUAAGGGAGGGAGCAGUCGGGAAUAUUGGACAAUGGGCGAAAGCCUGAUCCAGCAAUGCCACGUGUGUUAAGAAGGUCUUCGGAUUGUAAAGACCUUUAAGUUGGGAGGAAGGGCAGUAAGUUAAUACCUUGCUGUUUUGACGUUAGCAACAGAAGAAGCACCGGCUAACUUCGUG